rnacentral:rRNA from 1 species
AUUGAACGCUGGCGGCAUGCUUUACACAUGCAAGUCGAACGGUAACAGGCCUUCGGGUGCUGACGAGUGGCGAACGGGUGAGUAAUGCAUCGGAACGUACCCAGAGGUGGGGGAUAACGCAGCGAAAGCCGUGCUAAUACCGCAUGUGAUCUGAGGAUGAAAGCGGGGGACCGAGCAGCAAUGUUUGGCCUCGCGCCUUUGGAGCGGCCGAUGUCGGAUUAGCUAGUUGGUGGGGUAAAGGCCUACCAAGGCGACGAUCCGUAGCUGGUCUGAGAGGACGACCGGCCACACUGGGACUGAGACACGGCCCAGACUCCUACGGGAGGCAGCAGUGGGGAAUUUUGGACAAUGGGCGCAAGCCUGAUCCAGCAAUGCCGCGUGCGGGAAGAAGGCCUUCGGGUUGUAAACCGCUUUUGGCAGGAACGAAACGGUGUCCGCUAAUACCGGGCGCUAAUGACGGUACCUGCAGAAUAAGCACCGGCUAACUACGUG